GGUGGGAAGUGACUGAGUACGUCGCUGAUCUGAUGAUACAGCAAUGGUGUGAGUAGCCCUCAUGCUCCAUACAGGAUCUGGACUCUCUUUUCCUACCUGCUGCCACGUCCUCACCAAACGCGUGAAAUAGGCUGUUAUGCAAUUAUGUUUCUCAAGAUGUCACAUCUCGGAGGAAAGGAAGAACGCAAAUGAGACAUCAAGAACCCUUUGAGAAGUUGCACCUCAUAAGACAAGGCUGAGCCACAUCAGAUGUUUUUUUGUUGCUUCCUUUCUGAACUGCUGAAGAGAGUUGCAUCUCAACAAUCUGCUCCAUUACUUAUGUAUUGGCAGAUUCCUACUAUGACCAGGUUGCUGUAUGGAGGGAAUCAAAGUUCUGUGAGAAUCAUUGACAAAGGUAUUUGGUUUUAUGUACAGAAAAAAAAAGUAGCUGUGGGAAACCAGUGUCCGUGGAAGCAAACUGUGCACUCUGCGAGAACAGGGCACCUUGCUGUUCUGGCUCAGACAUGCUUUAGGCAGAUACUCUACAAGCUGCUGUUUGUAUUUCUAUCCACAUUUUUAUUCUGUGCCAUGGAAAAAGUAUCUGCAAUACCAAAUUCAAAUUCUUCUCAGCUCAAGAUCAUGCUAAAAUGUCAAGGGAUACCAGUUCAACUGUCAGUCCACAAGCAUGUAUAUCAGGACUGACAUUAAAUUCAAGACACAAGUGUUUAAAAACAACAUGUAACAACUGCAAGCACCAUCCAUCACAUUUUCUGAGACAGUCAGGUUAAAUGUUUUUAGGUAAAUUACUUAAGAGAAAUUGAAGUUUAUU